GACGAACGCUGGCGGCGUGCUUAACACAUGCAAGUCGAACGGAAAGGCCCUGCUUUUGUGGGGUGCUCGAGUGGCGAACGGGUGAGUAACACGUGAGUAACCUGCCCUUGACUUUGGGAUAACUUCAGGAAACUGGGGCUAAUACCGGAUAGGAGCUCCUGCUGCAUGGUGGGGGUUGGAAAGUUUCGGCGGUUGGGGAUGGACUCGCGGCUUAUCAGCUUGUUGGUGGGGUAGUGGCUUACCAAGGCUUUGACGGGUAGCCGGCCUGAGGGGGUGACCGGCCACAUUGGGACUGAGAUACGCCCAAGACCCCUAGGGGAGGCAGCAGUGGGAAAUAUUGCACAAUGGGCGGAAGCCUGAGGCAGCAACGCCGCGGGGGGGGUGACGGCCUUCGGGUUGAAAACCGCUUUCGCCUGUGACGAAGCGUGAGUGACGGUAAUGGGUAAAGAAGCACCGGCUAACUACGUG
rnacentral:rRNA from 1 species